rnacentral:rRNA from 1 species
AUUGAACGCUGGCGGCAGGCCUAACACAUGCAAGUCGAGCGGAUGAAGGGAGCUUGCUCCUGGAUUCAGCGGCGGACGGGUGAGUAAUGCCUAGGAAUCUGCCUGGUAGUGGGGGAUAACGUCCGGAAACGGGCGCUAAUACCGCAUACGUCCUGAGGGAGAAAGUGGGGGAUCUUCGGACCUCACGCUAUCAGAUGAGCCUAGGUCGGAUUAGCUAGUUGGUGGGGUAAAGGCCUACCAAGGCGACGAUCCGUAACUGGUCUGAGAGGAUGAUCAGUCACACUGGAACUGAGACACGGUCCAGACUCCUACGGGAGGCAGCAGCGGGGAAUAUUGGACAAUGGGCGAAAGCCUGAUCCAGCCAUGCCGCAUGUGUGAAGAAGGUCUUCGGAUUGUAAAGCACUUUAAGUUGGGAGGAAGGGCAGUAAGCUAAUACCUUGCUGUUUUGACGUUACCAACAGAAUAAGCACCGGCUAACUUCGUG